GAUGAACGCUAGCGGCAGGCUUAACACAUGCAAGUCGAGGGGUAGAGGCUUUCGGGCCUUGAGACCGGCGCACGGGUGCGUAACGCGUAUGCAAUCUGCCUUUCACAGAGGGAUAGCCCAGAGAAAUUUUGAUUAAUACCUCAUAGCAUUUGAGAAGGGCAUCCUUUUCCAAUUAAAGUCACAAUGAAGAAAGAUGAACAUGUGUGCCAUUAACUAGUUGGUAAGGUAACGGCUUACCAAGGAUACGAUGGGUAGGGGGCCUGUGAGGGAGAUCCCCCACACUGGUACUAAGACACGGACCAGACUCCUACGGGAGGCAGCAGUGAGUAAUAUUGGUCAAUGGGCGCAAGCCUGAACCAGCCAUGCCGCGUGCAGGAUAACGGUCCUAUGGAUUGUAAACUGCUUUUGUACGAGAAGAAACACUGAUUCGUGAAUCAGCUUGACGGUACCGUAAGAAUAAGGAUCGGCUAACUCCGUGCCAGCAGCCGCCGUAA
rnacentral:rRNA from 1 species